rnacentral:rRNA from 1 species
UAGGGAAUCUUCGGCAAUGGACGCAAGUCUGACCGAGCAACGCCGCGUGAGUGAAGAAGGUUUUCGGAUCGUAAAACUCUGUUGUUAGAGAAGAACAAGGAUGAGAGUAAAAUGUUCAUCCCUUGACGGUAUCUAACCAGAAAGCCACGGCUAACUACGUGCCAGCAGCCGCGGUAAUACGUAGGUGGCAAGCGUUGUCCGGAUUUAUUGGGCGUAAAGCGAGCGCAGGCGGUUUCUUAAGUCUGAUGUGAAAGCCCCCGGCUCAACCGGGGAGGGUCAUUGGAAACUGGGGAACUUGAGUGCAGAAGAGGAGAGUGGAAUUCCAUGUGUAGCGGUGAAAUGCGUAGAUAUAUGGAGGAACACCAGUGGCGAAGGCGGCUCUCUGGUCUGUAACUGACGCUGAGGCUCGAAAGCGUGGGGAGCAAACAGG